GAUGAACGCUGGCGGCGUGCCUAAUACAUGCAAGUCGAGCGAAUGGAUUAAGAGCUUGCUCUUAUGAAGUUAGCGGCGGACGGGUGGGUAACACGUGAGUAACCUGCCCAUAAGACUGGGAUAACUCCGGGAAACCGGGGCUAAUACCGGAUAACAUUUUGAACCGCAUGGUUCGAAAUUGAAAGGCGGCUUCGGCUGUCACUUAUGGAUGGACCCGCGUCGCAUUAGCUAGUUGGUGAGGUAACGGCUCACCAAGGCAACGAAGCGUAGCCGACCUGAGAGGGUGAUCGGCCACACUGGGACUGAGACACGGCCCAGACUCCUACGGGAGGCAGCAGUAGGGAAUCUUCCGCAAUGGACGAAAGUCUGACGGAGCAACGCCGCGUGAGUGAUGAAGGCUUUCGGGUCGUAAAACUCUGUUGUUAGGGAAGAACAAGUGCUAGUUGAAUAAGCUGGCACCUUGACGGUACCUAACCAGAAAGCCACGGCUAACUACGUGCCAGCCGCCGCCGUAA
rnacentral:rRNA from 1 species